UACGAAGGGUGCAAGCGUUAAUCGGAAUUACUGGGCGUAAAGCGCGCGUAGGUGGUUCAGUAAGUUGGAAGUGAAAUCCCCGGGCCCAACCUGGGCACUGCUUUCAAAACUGCUGAGUUAGAGUACGGUAGAGGGUGGUGGAAUUUCCUGUGUAGCGGUGAAAUGCGUAGAUAUAGGAAGGAACACCAGUGGCGAAGGCGACAACCUGGACUGAUACUGACACUGAGGUGCGAAAGCGUGGGGAGCAAACAGG
rnacentral:rRNA from 1 species